GGCUGUUGGCGGAUUGCUCGAGCUGCUCACGUGGCGAGAGCGGGUCGCCGCGUGCCGCUCGGGGGACGGACCAGGAAUCGCCCCUUCGGGAGCUUUCAUCGAGCAUGAAACAGUCGACUCAGAACUGGUACGGACAAGGGGAAUCCGACUGUUUAAUUAAAACAAAGCAUUGCGAUGGUCCUCGCGGAUGCUGACGCAAUGUGAUUUCUGCCCAGUGCUCUG
rnacentral:ncRNA from 1 species